UUUAUGCAAAUUUCCGUUUGUGAACUGUAAUCCAAACCCACACUUGUUAAAUUAUUUUUGGAAUCAUAUUUGUCUUGAUUUAAUAUGAAAUUUUUAAUGAAUAAUGACGCCCGAUCCAACAAAUAGCAUUGGACCCACAUCUGCACUGCACGUCACCGAUGGAGUACAUUAGAACCAAAUACAUGGGCCUUGCAGACAACAUACUAAUGGUAGGUCCGAUCAGAUAACUGUUCAACUUAUUGAUUAUAGGGUAGAGUCUAGUGUGUCAUUUCUUGGUAUAAAUGUCAAAUAUGUUUUUAUUUAAGUCUGGUUUAUGUAUUUGUUGUUUGCUUUAUUAAUUCCAUAGAACCAUGCCAUUUUGGUCAACUCGCAGAUAUACAUCCCUCUCUAUGUCAGCUAUCAUUGGCACUUGAUGGCUGUCGACAUAUGGGAUGUGAAGAUUAUUUACUAUGACUCACUCAAACCAACAAAGGAAAAAGUUAAACAAGCCAGAAUUGACCAAAUGUUAACUUGUCUCUUAUCAAAACAGUUGUCUUCUUCCAACACCCCAUUCUUACCCAACUUUAUUUAUCGAUUGGAAAAAGUUUUUGAACAAAUUUGAUAGGCUCACUAUCUGGAGGUUCUGCUGGAAGACAGUAGGUUCUACGAGAACAAGGAAACUAGCCCCCCAUUGGUUUCAAGAUUCGGUUUUGUCGAACCCCAAACCACGGAGUAGCAUGUGAAAUCGUAAACUUAACCAAUUUGUUUGAUUUUUUUUCCUUGGUGAUGUUUUGAAGGGAUUUUGGCUAUAGCGUGCAUCAUGGAUUGUAUUGUGUUUUGCAAGAUGGAUUGUGGGGUCUGGGUUAACCAGUAGAUGAUUUAGUCCUGCUUGUGGAGCGACUAUGACCUUGAGUAGACCUAGUGAUGGGAAAGCAUAACACCAUAUCCGAGGAAGUCGUUGCAGGGGCAGUGAAGCACUGAGACAAUAUCAUGGUGGUCAGGUCUCACAGGAAGGGCGUAACAUGUCCCAGACAGAAAAAAAAAUCCAUCUCGAAACAGCAAUCCCACAAUAUGAUGUUGAAUGACUUUUUCUUUUUUCGAGAUCAUGUUGGGAAUGAUUGAUUUUUUUUUUUUUGGUCUUUAAAANNUAAAAAUAUUGAUUAUAUAUAUAUAUACUAGCGCUUUUUA